rnacentral:pre_miRNA from 1 species
GGCCUUAUGCAAGUUUCGUAAAGUGUCACCUUGUUCCGAAGGGACAUUUUACUCCGCUUACAGAUCA